rnacentral:rRNA from 1 species
AUUGAACGCUGGCGGCAGGCCUAACACAUGCAAGUCGAGCGGAUGAAGGGAGCUUGCUCCUGGAUUCAGCGGCGGACGGGUGAGUAAUGCCUAGGAAUCUGCCUGGUAGUGGGGGAUAACGUCCGGAAACGGGCGCUAAUACCGCAUACGUCCUGAGGGAGAAAGUGGGGGAUCUUCGGACCUCACGCUAUCAGAUGAGCCUAGGUCGGAUUAGCUAGUUGGUGGGGUAAAGGCCUACCAAGGCGACGAUCCGUAACUGGUCUGAGAGGAUGAUCAGUCACACUGGAACCGAGACACGGUCCAGACUCCUACGGGAGGCAGCAGUGGGGAAUAUUGGACAAUAGGCGAAAGCCUGAUCCAGCCAUGCCGCGUGUGUGAAGAAGGUCUUCGGAUUGUAAAGCACUUUAAGUUGGGAGGAAGGGCAGUAAGUUAAUACCUUGCUGUUUUGACGUUACCAACAGAAUAAGCACCGGCUAACUUCGUG